rnacentral:rRNA from 1 species
AUGAACGCUGGCGGCGUGCCUAAUACAUGCAAGUCGAGCGAACAGACGAGGAGCUUGCUCCUCUGACGUUAGCGGCGGAUGGGUGAGUAACACGUGGAUAACCUACCUAUAAGACUGGGAUAACUUCGGGAAACCGGAGCUAAUACCGGAUAAUAUAUUGAACCGCAUGGUUCAAUAGUGAAAGACGGUUUUGCUGUCACUUAUAGAUGGAUCCGCGCCGCAUUAGCUAGUUGGUAAGGUAACGGCUUACCAAGGCAACGAUGCGUAGCCGACCUGAGAGGGUGAUCGGCCACACUGGAACUGAGACACGGUCCAGACUCCUACGGGAGGCAGCAGUAGGGAAUCUUCCGCAGUGGGCGAAAGCCUGACGGAGCAACGCCGCGUGAGUGAUGAAGGUCUUCGGAUCGUAAAACUCUGUUAUUAGGGAAGAACAAAUGUGUAAGUAACUAUGCACGUCUUGACGGUACCUAAUCAGAAAGCCACGGCUAACUACGUG